rnacentral:rRNA from 1 species
GACGGACGCUGGCGGCGUGCUUAACACAUGCAAGUCGAACGGAAAGGCCCUGCUUUUGUGGGGUGCUCGAGUGGCGAACGGGUGAGUAACACGUGAGUAACCUGCCCUUGACUUUGGGAUAACUUCAGGAAACUGGGGCUAAUACCGGAUAGGAGCUCCUGCUGCAUGGUGGGUGUUGGAAAGUUUCGGCGGUUGGGGAUGGACUCGCGGCUUAUCAGCUUGUUGGUGGGGUAGUGGCUUACCAAGGCUUUGACGGGUAGCCGGCCUGAGAGGGUUACCGGCGACAUGGGGACUGAGGGACGGCCCAGACUCGUACGGGAGGCAGCAGUGGGGAAUAUUACACAAUGAGCGGAAGCCUGAUGCAGCAACGCCGCGUGCGGGAUGACGGCCUUCGGGUUGUAAACCGCUUUCGCCUGUGACGAAGCGUGAGUGACGGUAAUGGGUAAAGAAGCACCGGCUAACUACGUG